GACGAACGCUGGCGGCGUGCUUAACACAUGCAAGUCGAACGAAAACUUCCGGUCUUGGGGCGCACGUGUACGUAAGACCUGGUAACCUGCCCUUGGGUACCGAGUAAUUCCCCGUGGGGGAUCUUAAUGACGGUUAGGGUCUUCGGGCCAACGAGUUAUCGCUGUAGGAUGGGGGUGGGUUGGUUUAGCUGGUUGGUAGGGUAAAAGCGUAGCAAGGCCACGAUCCAGGGCUGGUGUGAGAGGAUGACCAUCCACGAUGGGAAUGAGACACGGCCCAGACUCGUACGCAAGGGAGCAGUGGGGAAUAUUGUGCGAUGAGCGAAAGCCUGAUCCAGCAAUGCCGGGUGAGAGAUGAAGGGCGUAGGGUUGUGAAUCUCUUUUAGCCGGGAUGAUAAUGACAGUACCGGGUGAAUAAGCACCGGCUAACUCCGUG
rnacentral:rRNA from 1 species